UCCUCCUGUUGCUGCAGACAUCCAAAAGUGCUUCCAUAACUUGGGGCCACUCUAAGUUCCAAAUGCAGAAAUUAAAAGGGAACUUAUUUCUAAAAAUACAGCACACUGUUGAGCUCUCAAAGUGAGCUUCCUUGUCAACAUAGAACCACAGACACAUCUUCCUACCAAUAUUAUAAGGAAUUACUUCUGGCUCUGACCUACAAUCCAGUAUGUUGUUGUUUUUGCAAUCCACAUAUGAAUGAAAACGCUCAGAGAAUCAUUGGGCGGGGGGAAGAGGAUGGAAAUUCUUAUCUUGAAAAUCGUAUCAGCCACUUCAGUUUGGUAGAAAAAUGAUCUCUUUACCUUGAUGUAAAACUUCUGAGCUCCUGCUAUGUCUGCUUGACUUGUUUGAAGGUCUUCACCUGUAGUAAAGGUCUCCAGAGGGAGGCUGGUCUCUUCUCCCCGGAACUCCCAGAACUCCUUGCAGCACUGCCGUCUUCGCCGGCGCGGCUCGGAGCCUCCCGCUGAGGAGCGAGGCGAAGCCGUAAGGAAGAGCGGGGAGCCGGGGCCGAGAAAGCCGCCGCCGCCGCCAGCGGGAGGAGGAGGGGGCGGAGGAUCGGCUGCGAAGGGGAGGAGACGGGGGGCGGUCGAGCCGAGGGGCCGGCGGCCGCGCGGCCGGCGCUUCCUCCCGACACGCCGCCGAGUGGGGCCGGGCCGAGCGCGGGGGCCGGGGCGCGGGGCCCUCCCAACGCCGCCGAGCCCGGAUCUGUGUGGGCUCACCCCUCGCCGUGUUCGCGCCGCACGGAGCGGCCCCGCCGCCACCGCCGCCUUUGUUCGGCCGAGGCGCGGCCGGGGGUGGGGGUGGCGAGCCGGGCGCUGAGCCCUGAGCCCCGCCCGGGGCUGCUCCUUCGGCCGUGGACGGCACGGCAUUACCGAUGUUAAUUUGGGUCUGCGAUGAAAGCCCCGCUCACCUGUGCCAAGCGCCGCUCGGCAUCCAGCGUUGAAGUCAGCCCACGCGCAGCGCCUCGGCUGCCUGUUUAUGCCUGGGGAGCUGACUGGCGGCUGCUCUGUUAAAUUAACUUGUGGGGUUUUUCCCUUCUCUCUCUCUCUCUCUCACUCUCUUUUUUUUUAAUUGCAGAGGGUAAUAGAAACUGUGAAGACUGUUUUCUUAGCAUUCUUUUCUUGGCAGCUACCAAAAACUACAAAUCUGUUUUCAGAUACACCUUUAGUCCGUUGUGUGUGUGUGUGUGUCCAUGAGUUUUCUUUCAAACAUUGACUCUCGGACAAUGACCAGAGAAGGGAUUAUCCUGCUCUGUUCUGCACUGGUGUGGCCUCACUUCGAGCACAGGAUGCAGGUUUGGGCUGCAGAGAGAAGGACAAGGAAAGCAUCCAGAGGAGGACUGCAAAGAUGGGGAAGGACCUGAAGGGCAAGAUGCGUGAGGAGCGGCUGAGGUCCCUGGGUUCGCUCAGCGCAGAGCAGAGGAGCUGAGGGGAGGCCUGAUGGCGGCUGCAGCUCCUCACAGGGAGCGGAGGGGCGGCGCUGAGCUCUGCUCCGUGUGACAGCGACGGGGCCCGAGGGAACGGCACGGAGCUGUGUCAGGGGAGGGGCAGGUUGGAUAUCAGAAAAGGUUCUUCACCAGGGCUGUGGUCCUGGCCCCAAACUGCUGGAGCUCAGGGUGCGUUUGGACAACACUCUCAGCCAUAGGAUUUGAAUUUUAGGUGAUCUUGUGUGAAGGCAGGAUUUGGAAUCAACGAUCCUUGGGGACCCUUCCAAGUUGGGAUGUUCCAUGGUUCUAUGAUUUGCCUGUUGAUGCACAUGUCCAGUUGCUUACUGAACUCUAAGCACUUCUCUGUUGCUUGUUCUGUAACACCACUCCAACAUUUCUCCUCCUGAUUUCAGCUCAUCAGUUUGAGUUCUCAGGACAAUACAGGCUGUCCGUUCUCACCAGAUAAAAUAGUUGAAAGGGAAGGAUCUUCCUGUGUCCACUUCUCACUUAGAAGGGGCUUAGAAACUCUUGUAUGAGGUCUUCUCCGAAGGGCACUUAUACUUCAGUCAUCUGGACAGAAGUGGUUCAACCUACAGGACCAUCUACAAAGUGACCUUUCAGUGAACUGGUGACAAACCAGAACUAGACUAUACGAAGUUGUUAGGACCAGGGGGGCUUUUUGGCAGCCUUCCAUAAAAUCUAAUUUCCCCAGGGUUCAUUAAUAGCCCCAUAGAGCCCCAGCAGUUCCACAGUUUCACCUGGAAGUUCUUGAUGAGCGCAGAGACCCAGAGCACAGUGGCCUCUGCUUCAGCUCAGUGCAAGUAUCAGGACAGCACAAGGUUUUUGGUUCCAAGCUGUUCAGGUUGUUAAGCACCAACCAGCCACUUUGAUAUGCCAUUCCUGGUCAAAGCAGAGGCCUACCAGUGUUUUAAUUCCAGGACAACACACAAACAUUUGUCAAACAGCACUUCUGUUGUGUGCACCCUUCUUGAUGAAACAAAAGCUACAGAGCUCUUUCUUACAGUACUGACUGGUAACGUUUUUACACCCGUUCAUCACAUGAUGGAUAGCUUUAUUAAAUUAUGCCACACUGCAGCUGCUGCCUCUGGGAAGAAGUAUGGAAUAAUACAAUUAAUAUCUCACCCUUUAAUUUUAAUAUAGCUAUUAAAAUAUUCAUUCUCACCAUCAAGAUUGGUGACAGCCUCUGUCUCAGACAGAUGUCCAUCCCAUAAAAACACUGCCUGAAGUUCCCCACCUGCAAGGCAAACCGUAGACCCAAGUUAAUCAUGAGCACCCAGGGACUCCAUCACGGUCCAAGUCAUUGUAAUGAAACUAGCACUCUGAACCCAGGAUGACAUUUGAGGGCACCAUAAAUGAUUACCCUUGCACACAGAGGUUUGUAUUUCAGAGUGCCAUAGUCUCUAUGUACAAGUGGUAUCCGAGGCAAAGACUAAUUCUAUGAACAUGCAUGUACCUGAUUAAGCUCAUUUAAUUCCAUUAGAAGUAAAAUAAAGUUAGGAACCUCUGGAGGUGGACAGAAAAUUAUCCAGUUCCAGACUUAUUUCUUCACACAUACCUAAGAACAGAUGAUUACAAAAUGAAUUUACCUUGUUGGUCCAUUAAAAUGCUUCACCAUCUACAAAAGGUUUUGAGAGAUGGGGCUUUAAAAAUUCAGCUACUGAUCAUAACUGUCUUCCUAGGCCCAAAUUCUUGUAAGACCAAGAAUAAAGCGUUUGUCAGUCUGAUCAGCAGGUUUACUUGGAAACAGCUGACACUGCUUAAAAUAAAAUUAUGUUAAUUAACACAGGUUCUCAAGGUCAUGUUUUAACAGCGCAACCCACAGUGCAGACAAGCUCUGUCCACCCAAACAAUGGGUUGCUUUUAUUCAUGUUCCUUUAACCUGCUAUCAACAGCAAGUCUGCAUCUCACUGCUGCUUCUGAACCUUCAGCCUGCUUGUGUUCAAAGGGAAUUUUGGAUGCACUUUGGCUUACUUGUGCCGUUUGCAAAGCAGCGAGCAGAGGGAGGAAGCAGUCACCUGCUGUAAGGACAGCCAGGGUUAAAUGAGCUCAUUUCCCUCUGGUUAGCUCUCUGGGCCUGACUGCAGGGUGCUUGGGUUUUGGAUCUGGUCUGCUUGUGUAAACACGAGCAUAAUGAUCAAAAUACACUUCAACAUGAAGACUGCUGCCUGGAUUACUGCCGCAAUUAGCCCCGGCAGUUUAAGUACUGCACAGUGCAGCUCUCCUCUCUGCCCCCUGUGCCUGUAGCAUGCAUUCACUCUAUAUCCCUCCAGACCACAAACAAGGAGGGGUGAUCUGAAAUCAGCAGCUACCUGCAGCAGCUGCACCAACAUGUUCUUUUAGUGUACUUGUCCUGGGUUAAAUCCACGAGUGAAGCUCAUGUAUGUGCUGUCUGAUCCCAGCCUGG
rnacentral:lncRNA from 1 species